rnacentral:lncRNA from 1 species
AGGGUUAAGGAAAGCCCGUGAGAUGCACCCAUUGGAUGGUGAGAUCAGUAGGAAAAUAAGGAAAAAAGGAGAAGGGAGAUAGAAGGAAUAGGAAAUAAUAGGAGAACAAGGCAGGGGGAAGAAAGCAGGAAGAAGGGAAGAGGAACAGAGAAUAAGGAUGGCAGAACCCUUAGAUGUACACAUUGAUGUCAUCCAUGGUGCAGCAUCCACUUCCUCUUUGGGUGGUGGUUGCCAGGGGAAGGAGAGGUGCUGGAAUAGCCAGACAAUUAGGACAUGAUCUUCCCAAGAUUUUUAAUAUAAGAGCUUUAAUGAGAUAAUUCACACACCAAAAAAUUCACCAAACUAGAUUGCGCAAUUCAAUGGUGUUUUGUAUAUUCAGGAACUGUACAACCAUUAGCACAAUCCAUUUCAGAAUACUUUCAUCAUCCCCCCAAAAGAAACCCCAUACCCAUUAGUAGUCACUCCCAUUCCCUCCUGCCUGCCCCAGCCCUAGGCAACACCAAUCGACUUUCUGUCUGUAGGGAUUCACCUAUUCUGGGCAUUUCAUAGAGAUGGAAUCAUACAGUACGUGAUCCUUUGUGACUAGCUUCUAGCAUGAUGUUUUCAAGGUUCAUCCAUAUUGUAGCCUAUGUUAGUAACUUCCUAAAUUUCCUAAUUCAGAGGCAAGAAGGUGAAAGAAAGGAGCUUAAUAUCCUCCCACAUAAGCAAGUGUCAUGAUGGAAACUGUCCCACUGUUCACCCCAAGAAAUCCCACUGAUCCAGUUUAGUCAUUAAUAUACACACUUAAGAUAUCAGGCAGCUGGAUUCUUUCAUUUUUACCAUCAGGGAAACCGAAGCACAGUGAAAUGAUGUUUUCGAGUGUGGGCCUUUUGCACCCUCCACACACCUCUCAUGAAAAAAAGAAAAUGAAAUAGGCUCCAAGUGUAAGGGUCUCUUGUCUCUUGGUUUUUAUGAUUUAGAUUUAAUGUUAAGAGACAAAUAAGGGUCUCCUGGUAGUCUGUCCAUAUGUCUCUCUCUUACCUCUCCAAAGUGACAAUUCCCAGUUCAAUUUUUACAAUGUAAAAGAAUGACUCUCCUCUAAUGGUUAUCUGUCAUUGUUUAUGUUUAAAGUAAUUUUAUAUGUUAAGACUGUAGCCUUAGGAUGCGGGAAAGCAGAAAGCAGUACCCUUGGGCCAAACGCAGUUUCUGAGGUUGGAGGAGCUUCUAAUCUGGAUUGAAAAGGACGCGGCUAGUCAUUGGACUUAGAAAACAUAAACCACCUUUCUUCUAUAACUGAAGUGAGAUGUGUCCCUAAGGGAAGCUACUUGGAGAGUUACGGGAAUGACCAGGCACUAUGCUCAUGAAGCAUCUCAUUUAAUCCUUGCAAGAACCUGAUGGAGUGGAUUCUAGCAUUAUUGACAGUUUUUCUAAGAGGAAACCGAAGGCUUAAUGAGGACAGGUAACUUGGGGAAGGCUGAUGCUUAGGAAGGGUAGUGCCAGGACUCCAGAUGUGCCUAACACAGAGCCUAUCCUCCCCACCAUGCCAUCCUGCCUCCCAACAGUAAGCAGGCAAUUUGGAAGCGUGUUCAGAGCCUAUGGUAUCUUCCUGCCUGCCCUGCCUUCCCAGAGCACAGGCCCUGCUCUCACUCUCUCUUCUGCUACUCUCCUCACCUCCCUACCUCAGAAGCACUCCUGAAAGGAAGCACACAAGAAGAGAGGCAGGCACACUGUGUCCUGGGCCCAGGGACAGGUGACCUUUCCAAUUCAGCACCUUUAUAAAACUUACCUAAUGAAGUUAAGAGGAAAAAGGAAUUAAUGAAUAAACGAAGGUUAAAUCACUCCCUGCAGAAAAUUGAUGCUGACAGCAAGGGCCAAGAAGAGAGCUUGGGAAGCAGGGAGCUGACUUGCACAAGAGGCUUUUAAAACUCCUUUCUCCAAAUUUGAGGGAGGCAUAAGGCUUGCCAAUUCCAACAUGGGCAAUGAAAACUUUGGGAAGUCCAAGGAGAUGGCCUGAAGAAAAUGGAGUGAGAAAGCCAUACUCUACCUUGGAUGAUUGUUUUUGCAGAAGCUGAUUUGGGUUUUUAGGAAUCUGAUCAUGAAGACAGGCAGGCUCCGAGGGCCCAGCACAGCCUGCCCAUCUUGCAGCAUGAUUCUGCCUGGGAGUCAGGGAACCCACACUGGCUGAUGGAGGGCUGGGAGAGCUGCGGGGAGCCUGAGGGGCGGGCAGAGAGAUCCGGAGCCAAGAACUGACUAGAUCAACCAGUAAAUAAAAGGUCACAAUGAUUUUUCCAGGCACCCAGGGAGAAGCAGACAAGAGAGCCCAGCUGACGGCAGGAGCUGACAACUGGCAAAUGAGCCUCCACAGUUAUCUGUUUUCCUUCCUUAUUCUUGUCUCAUAAGACAGAGGCUAGAAAUAGAUGCAACUGGCAGAUGACUUAAGGAUGAAAAAUGGGCAACGUGUUAGUUGUGGGGGACUCCAUGGUAGUGAAAGAGGGAGAUUACCUUGGAGGCAGGGAGAAAACACAGGGCUUAGCUAGAGCCAUGGCUGAGGGUUUGGCUCUCACACUGUCCCAGGCAUUGUAUAGGGAUUUCACCUUCUCAGCAGUCCUAUCAGGUAGGUAUUAUUGUUAUCCCCACUUUACAGAAGACAAGACCAAGGCUUAGAGAGGAUACGCUAGGCCAUAUCAAAGAGUGAUAGAGCCAAGAUUUGAAUACAAUUCUAAUUGCCUCCCAAGAUGAGGCCUUACAGUAAACUAGAAUGCCUCCUUUUCAUAGAUAUUUUCCUUUGUUUCCUUUUUCCCCCUCCUCUCUUUCUUCCUAAGCUCCAACAAGUGUUUCCUGU